GAGUAACACGUGGGUAAUCUGCCCUGCACUCUGGGAUAAGCCUGGGAAACUGGGUCUAAUACUGGAUAUGACCUUUCUCCUUAUGGGGUUUGGUGGAAAGUUUUCGGUGUAGGAUGAGCCCGCGGCCUAUCAGCUUGUUGGUGGGGUGAUGGCCUACCAAGGCGACGACGGGUAGCCGGCCUGAGAGGGUGAUCGGCCACAUUGGGACUGAGAUACGGCCCAG
rnacentral:rRNA from 1 species